AGCAACGAACGCUUGCGCGUUUAA
rnacentral:sRNA from 1 species